UACAGAGGGGGCAAGCGUUGUUCGGAAUUACUGGGCGUAAAGGGCGCGUAGGCGGCCCUCUAAGUCGAACGUGAAAUCCCUGGGCUCAACCCAGAACGGUCAAGUGAUACUGUCGUGCUAGAGUGCGGAAGGGGCAACUGGAAUUCUUGGUGUAGCGGUGAAAUGACGUAGAUAUCAAGAGGAACACCUGCGGCGAAGGCGGGUUGCUGGGCCGACACUGACGCUGAGGCGCGAAAGCCAGGGGAGCGAACGGG
rnacentral:rRNA from 1 species